UUUCUCUCUGUGGAUUAUUUAAUAAUAGUCUUUAAAUGUUAAAGAAAUCUAUCUUUGGAAUAGACAUCCUGAUUUCAAAGCUAUUGGAGCUAUGGAGACCAUACUGCAGCCAUUAAGCAGUAGAGAAAAGCAAAGAUGCUGAGAAUGGCAACAUAUGGGGAUGGAAAGAGCCUGGGUCACUGACAGCACUGUUUAGCCCGGUAUGACCAUCUACCUCUAAACUUCUUAGUAACAGAACCCCUCUGAGUGUGAGCUCAUCAAAUGGCUGCCCAGCAAGAUAUUACAUUUCCCAGUCUCCCUUGAAGGUAUUCACAAUUACUGGAGCUGAGAUCAAGGAACUGACACAGGGCGUUGGCUGAAAUCUUCCACCCAGAAGCCCAACUCCACCCAAGAUGAGGCAGGCAUUGAACUGAGGUCAUACAGGUGUCAAACUUGGCAGUGAAGGUGAGCUGGGACCUGGAGGCCUGGUAGAGUGACUGGAUAAGGCAUGGACCUAUUGGGGAUUUUUAUUAAAUCUGUGAGCAAUGGGCUGAAAGUAUCAAAAAGGAGACCUUCCUGUUAUCCUCACCCCUGCACUUGA